AGUGAACGCUGGCGGUAGGCCUAACACAUGCAAGUCGAACGGCAGCACAGUAAGAGCUUGCUCUUACGGGUGGCGAGUGGCGGACGGGUGAGGAAUACAUCGGAAUCUACUUUUUCGUGGGGGAUAACGUAGGGAAACUUACGCUAAUACCGCAUACGACCUACGGGUGAAAGCAGGGGAUCUUCGGACCUUGCGCGAUUGAAUGAGCCGAUGUCGGAUUAGCUAGUUGGCGGGGUAAAGGCCCACCAAGGCGACGAUCCGUAGCUGGUCUGAGAGGAUGAUCAGCCCCACUUGAACUGAGACACGGUCCAGACUCCUACGGGAGGCAGCAGUGGGGAAUAUUGGAACAUGGGCGCAAGCCUGAUCCAGCCAUACCGCGUGGGUGAAGAAGGCCUUCGGGUUGUAAAGCCCUUUUGUUGGGAAAGAAAAGCAGCAGGUUAAUACCCCGCUGUUCUGACGGUACCCAAAGAAUAAGCACCGGCUAACUUCGUG
rnacentral:rRNA from 1 species